rnacentral:rRNA from 1 species
AAAAGAUUUUAGCCAUGCAUGUGUAAGUAGAGUUGAUAUAAGGCGAAACUGCGAACGGCUCAUUACAACAGAUAUAAUUUACUUGUUCUAUUUCUUAAACGGAUAACUGCGGUAAUUCUGGAGCCAAUACGUGCACCAAAGCGUGGUUCGCUUGCGAGCCGCGUGCACUUAUCGGAGCAAAACCAAACCUUCGGGUUCGUUGCUAACUCUGGAUAAUACUGCUUAUCGCAUGGCCUCGUGCCGGCGAAGCGACAUUCAAGUAUCUGCCCUAUCAAUUAUCGUAGUUAGUGUAUUGGACUAACUAGAUGGUGACGGGUAACGGAGAAUCAGGGUUCGACUCCGGAGAGGCCGCCUUAGAAACGGCGACCAUGUCUAAGGAUAGCAGCAGGCGCGAAAAUUACCCACUGCUCACUCUGAGCGAGGUAGUGACGAGAAAUAACAAAGCCGUUCUCAUUGAGGUCGGCUAUUGGAAUGGGUACAACCUAGACAAUUUAACGAGUAUCAACGAGAGGGCAAGUCUGGUGCCAGCAGCCGCGGUAAUUCCAGCUCUCGUAAUGUAUAGAAUUAUUGUUGCGGUUAAAAAGUUCGUAGUUGGAUUGUCUCGCCAGGGCGGGUCGGCCUUAACGGGCUCGUACUCGCUCUGGCAUUUGCGUCUUCGCGCCCUUCCCCGCGGGGUUGGCGCGUGGCGCGGAUUACUUUGAACGGCUUACGUGCUCAAGGCAGGUCAACUGGACCGAUUACCGGUGCAUGGAAUAAUGGAACAAGGUCUCGGCCGAGUUUUGUUGGUUUUGUCGGCUGAAACAAUGGUUAACAGGAACAGCUGGGGGCAUUCGUAUCGCUGCGCGAGAGGUGAAAUUCGUGGACCGCAGCGAGACGCACUAAAGCGAAGGCAUUUGCCAAGAGUGUUUUCAUUAAUCAAGAACGAAAGUCAGAGGUUCGAAGGCGAUUAGAUACCGCCCUAUCUUGGCGCCCUAAAAAAAA